rnacentral:rRNA from 1 species
AUUGAACGCUGGCGGCAGGCCUCACACAUGCAAGUCGAACGAGUGGCGGACGGGUGAGUAAUGUCUGGGAAACUGCCCGCUGGAGGGGGCUACCUACUGAAACGGUAGCUAAUACCGCAUACCAUCGGAUCUGCCCAGAAGGGAUUAGCUAGUGGGUGGGGUAACGGCUCACCUCGGCGACGAUCCCUAGCUGGUCUGAGAGGAUGACCAGCCACACUGGAACUGAGACACGGUCCAGACUCCUACGGGAGGCAGCAGUGGGGAAUAUUGCACAAUGGGCGCAAGCCUGAUGCAGCCAUGCCGCGUGUAUGAAGAAGGCCUUCGGGUUGUAAAGUACUUUCAGCGAGGAGGCGUUACUCGCAGAAGAAGCACCGGCUAACUCCGUGCCAGCAGCCGCGGUAAUAC